CUUGGUUGAUCCUGCCAGUAGUCAUAUGCUUGUCUCAAAGAUUAAGCUAUGCAUGUAUAAACAUGAACUAAUUCAGAUUGUGAAACUAUGAAUGGCUCAUUAAAUCAGUUAUAGUUUGUUUCAUGGUAUCUUCUACUCGGAUAACCGUAGUAAUUCUAGAGCUAAUACGUGCAACAAACCUCGACUUUUGGAAGGGAUGCAUUUAUUAGAUAAAAGGUCGAUGCAGGCUCUGCCUGUUGCUGCGAUGAUUCGUGAUAACUCGAUGGAUUGCACAGUACUCGUGCCGGUGACACAUCAUUCAAAUUCUACCCCAUCAACUUUCGAUGAUAGGAACAUGGCCUACUAUGGUGGUGACGGUGACGGAGAAUUAGGGUUCGAUUCCGGAGAGGCAGCCUGAGAAAUGGCUACCAUAUCCAAGGAAGGCAAUAGGCACGCAAAUUACCCAAUCCUAACACGGGGAGGUAGUGAUAAUAAAUAACAAUACCGAGCUCUUUGAGUCUGGUAAUUGGAAUGAAUACAAUCUAAAUCCCUUUCUAGGAUCCAUUAGAGGGCAAGUCUGGUACUAACAGUCGCGAUAAUUCCAGCUCUAAUAGAGUAUAUUUGAGUUGUUGCAAUUAAAAAACUCGUAGUUGAACUUUGGGAUAGGCUAGCCGGUCCACCAAUAGGUGUGCACCGAUAGUCUCAUCCUUUCUGCUGGUGAUGCUCCUGGCCUUAAUUGGCCGGGUCGUGCCUUCGGCGCGGUUACUUUGAAAAAAUUAGAGUGUUCAAAGCAAGCCUACUCUUUGGAUACAUUAGCAUGGAUAAUAAUAUAGGAUUUCGGUCCUAUUCUGUUGGCCUUCGGGAUCGGAGUAAUGAUUAACAGGGACAACUGGGGGCAUUCGUAUUUCACAGUAAUAGGUGAAAUUCUUGGAUUUAUGAAAGAUGAACAACUGGGAAAGCAUUUGCCAAGGAUAUUUUCAAUAAUCAAGAAUGAAAGUUGGGGGCUCAAAGAUACCGUCCUAGUCUCUACCGUAAACGAUGCCGACCAGGGAUCGGCGAAUAUUGCUUUAAGGACUCUACCGGCAUCUUAUGAGAAAUCAAAGUUUUUGGGUUCCGGGGAGAGUAUGGUCGCCAGACUGAAACUUAAAGGAAUUGACAGAAGGGCACCAUCAGGAGUGGAGCCUGCGGCUUAAUGUGACUCAAGACAGGAAAACUUACCAGGUCCAGACAUAAUAAGGAUUAAUAGACAGACAGCUCUUUGAUGAUUCUAUGGGUGGUGGUGCAUGGCCGUUUUUAGUUGGUGGAGCAAUUUAUCUAUUUAAUUCUGUUAACGAAAAAGCCCUCAGCCUGCUAACUAGCUAUACGGAGGAAUCCCUCCACAGCUAGCUUUUUAGAGGGACUACAGCCUUUUAGGCCUCAGAAGUUUGAGGCAAUAACAGAUAUGUGAUGCCCUUAGAUGAUCUAGGCCGCACAUGCGCUACACUGAUAUAUUCAACGAGUCCAUAGCCUUGACCGACAGGCCCAGGUAAUCUUCGAAAUUUCAUCAUGAAGGGGAUAGAUAAUUGCAAAUGUUGGUCUUCAAUGAGGAAUUCCUAGUAAGUGCAAGUCACUAGCUUGCGUUAAAUACGUCCCUGCCUUUUCUACAUACAUCCCGUCACUCCUACAGAUUUUAUGGUCUAGUGAAGUGUUCGGAUCGCGGUGACGUGAACGAUUCGCUAUCCGCAACAUCGUGAGAAGUCCACUGAACCUUAUCAUUUAAAGGAAGGAGAAGUCGUAACAAGGUUUCCAUAGGUGAACCUGCGAAAG
rnacentral:rRNA from 1 species